rnacentral:rRNA from 1 species
AUUGAACGCUGGCGGCAGGCCUAACACAUGCAAGUCGAACGAGUGGCGGACGGGUGAGUAAUGUCUGGGAAACUGCCUGAUGGAGGGGGAUCACUACUGGAAACGGUAGCUAAUACCGCAUACCAUCGGAUGUGCCCAGAUGGGAUUAGCUAGUGGGUGGGGCAAAGGCUCACCAAGGCGACGAUCCCUAGCUGGUCUGAGAGGAUUACCAGCCAAACUGGAACGGAGACACGGUCCAGACUCCUACGGGAGGCAGCAGUGGGGAAUAUUGCACAAUGGGCGCAAGCCUGAUGCAGCCAUGCCGCGUGUAUGAAGAAGGCCUUCGGGUUGUAAAGUACUUUCAGCGGGGAGGCGUUACCCGCAGAAGAAGCACCGGCUAACUCCGUGCCAGCAGCCGCGGUAAUAC